CAGCAGCCGCGGGAAUACAGAGGGUGCAAGCGUUAAUCGGAAUUACUGGGCGUAAAGCGCGCGUAGGUGGUUUGUUAAGUUGAAUGUGAAAUCCCCGGGCUCAACCUGGGAACUGCAUUUGUGACUGGCCGGCUAGAGUAUGGCAGAGGGAGGUGGAAUUCCACGUGUAGCAGUGAAAUGCGUAGAUAUGUGGAGGAACACCGAUGGCGAAGGCAGCCUCCUGGGCCAAUACUGACGCUCAUGCACGAAAGCGUGGGGAGCAAACAGGAUUAGAUACCCCUGUAGUCCCUGUCUCUUAUAA
rnacentral:rRNA from 1 species